rfam:Oryza sativa (indica cultivar-group) chromosome 3, whole genome shotgun sequence.
AAAAAGACAAACCCUGGGAUUUCGUGUCCAACUUUGAUUGUCCGUCUUAUAUAAUUUUUUUUAUAAUUCGUAUUUUCAUUGUUGUUAGAUGAUAAAGCAUGAUUAAUAUUUUAUACGUGACUUGUCUUUUUAAUUUUUUUUAUAAUUUUUUUAAAUAAGACGGACGGUUAAAUAUUAGGCACGGAAACCACGUUUGUCCCUUUU